rnacentral:rRNA from 1 species
AGAGUUUGAUCAUGGCUCAGGAUGAACGCUAGCUACAGGCUUAACACAUGCAAGUCGAGGGGAACGACAUCGAAAGCUUGCUUUUGAUGGGCGUCGACCGGCGCACGGGUGAGUAACGCGUAUCCAACCUGCCCACCACUUGGGGAUAACCUUGCGAAAGUAAGACUAAUACCCAAUGACGUCUCUAGAAGACAUCUGAAAGAGAUUAAAGAUUUAUCGGUGAUGGAUGGGGAUGCGUCUGAUUAGCUUGUUGGCGGGGUAACGGCCACCAAGGCGACGAUCAGUAGGGGUUCUGACGAGGAAGGUUCCCCCGACAUUGGAACUGAGACACGGUCCAAACUCCUACGGGAGGCA